UUUCCCUCCAUUAAUUUUGCAAAGCUCCUAAAUAUAUUUUUAUCCCUAAAUAUAUUCUCUCAUUAAAAAAUCUAAAAGAAAAAAGACUUGUUUUCCAAAACCUUCACCGAUGUGAGCAUACUCCACAAACAACGUUAACGAAGCCCUAUUCCAUAGAUUUUCAAUCAAAGCAGCUCUUGGACAGCAAAGCUCUGCGACAAUGAAGCAUUUGGUGAGGAAAACAACAACGAACAAUUUCGAAGCUUUUGGUAAAGCUCGUUGGUCCUCUUGGAUACCGAGGUUUGACUACAAAAUCUUCCAUAUAAACGUGUACUUAUUGCAAACCCAUUAACAGUGUGCUUUUCAAUUUGUGCAAAAUCACUACUGAUUGGAUAACCAUCGUCGUCAAGGACCCGGUAACAUUGUACUCUCUCCUUCCUUUGUUUCAGGAAUAAAGUUUAAAUGUGAGGUGAAUUUGACCUCGCCUCCAGGGAAAUCGAGGACUUAGGAAUCAUUAUGAAUAUUGUGCAUGAGAUUUAACUGUGUUUGAGCUUUAUUUGAGUCAAAACGGAAAUAAGCUGGUGUGUUCUCUUAUUUAUUAUAUAGUAUUAACAUGGCAUUUAAACUAUUUUUUAUAUACAUUUCAAUGUGACUAGGAGAAAAAUAAGGAGACAGUAUCAUUUAAGGAUCUGUUGUGGUUACACGAACAAGAAAAUUCGGGCGUUUGUACAAGGCUUCGAAUGAAGAUACUACUAGUAAAACUGCUGAAAUGGAGGAAAUUGAAAAACAAAUGCAACAACUUAUUGAAUACAAGAAAUGUAAGAAAAGGAUGCUAUUAAAUGGAGGAACAAAUGGAGGAACAAAAGAAAACUGUGCGACAGGACGUUAUAGCAGAUGUAAUUUCACAAAUUAAGCAUGCGAGAUUAAUUGAUCCUAAUAUACUGGCAGCACUGUCCAUUUCUUCACCAAGAGAAUCGACUUCUGUUCAAGGGGGUGAUGAAAUUGAUGAAGGCGAUGAAAGUAGCAGUGAAGACUUGACAUAGGAGCUGAAUUGUGGAUGUUAGCUUUAUUGGUGUUCUAGAAAUCUUUUAUUUUGAAGAUCGAAAACUGUGUGGUACAUGUGUUUCACCUUUUUUUGAAUGGUAAAAAAAUAUUUUGUAUAUUUUGCUAAGUUGAUAUUAGAAUCGUGGAUCUUGAAUUUUAAUUUUAGUGUUGAACAUUUCUUCUCGUGAAUAAUUCAUGUGUAUUUUAUGUUAUUAAA